AUGGUAAUCAGAGCCUACCUCGAAUUCAUCCGUGGCAAGCUCUUCGGUGAACUCCUUCCCCUCAUCUCCGUUUGCACACACCGCAACAGAGAAGCUUACGAGAGGGGACGAAGCGCUAUGGCGCGCUACCGUGCUCUCGGCCAUCCGGGGAGCGCAAAUGACGUCGAGCAGGUGGUGCCCCCGAUGAGCACUGAAGUCACCAGCGACGACGGCAAGACCAAGUCCAAGGCUCCCAAUCCGAAGUUUAGUGUGUGGUACGCGCGUGAUCAGCAGGUGUUCUCUUACCUGUUGACCACGCUGCCCCGCGAGAUGGCCAUCCAGGUGGCGACGUGCCACACCGCAGCAGAGCUGUGGAACACGGUGUAG
rnacentral:rRNA from 1 species